rnacentral:rRNA from 1 species
UUAAGCGACUAAGCGUACACGGUGGAUGCCCUGGCAGUCAGAGGCGAUGAAGGACGUGCUAAUCUGCGAAAAGCGUCGGUAAGGUGAUAUGAACCGUUAUAGCCGGCGAUGUCCGAAUGGGGAAACCCAGUGCAAUUCGUUGCACUAUCGUUAACUGAAUACAUAGGUUAACGAGGCGAACCGGGGGAACUGAAACAUCUAAGUACCCCGAGGAAAAGAAAUCAACCGAGAUUCCCCCAGUAGCGGCGAGCGAACGGGGAGCAGCCCAGAGUCUGAAUCAGCUUGUGUGUUAGUGGAACGGUCUGGAAAGUCCGACGGUACAGGGUGAUAGUCCCGUACACCAAAAUGCACAGGUUGUGAACUCGAAGAGUAGGGCGGGACACGUGGUAUCCUGUCUGAAUAUGGGGGGACCAUCCUCCAAGGCUAAAUACUCCUGACUGACCGAUAGUGAACCAGUACCGUGAGGGAAAGGCGAAAAGAACCCCGGCGAGGGGAGUGAAAAAGAACCUGAAACCGUGUACGUACAAGCAGUGGGAGCACCUUCGGGUGUGACUGCGUACCUUUUGUAUAAUGGGUCAGCGACUUAUAUUCUGUAGCAAGGUUAACCGUAUAGGGGAGCCGCAGGGAAACCGAGUCUUAACUGGGCGUUAAGUUGCAGGGUAUAGACCCGAAACCCGGUGAUCUAGCCAUGGGCAGGUUGAAGGUUGGGUAACACUAACUGGAGGACCGAACCGACUAAUGUUGAAAAAUUAGCGGAUGACUUGUGGCUGGGGGUGAAAGGCCAAUCAAACCGGGAGAUAGCUGGUUCUCCCCGAAAGCUAUUUAGGUAGCGCCUCGUGAACUCAUCUUCGGGGGUAGAGCACUGUUUCGGCUAGGGGGUCAUCCCGACUUACCAACCCGAUGCAAACUACGAAUACCGAAGAAUGUUAUCACGGGAGACACACGGCGGGUGCUAACGUCCGUCGUGAAGAGGGAAACAACCCAGACCGCCAGCUAAGGUCCCAAAGUCAUGGUUAAGUGGGAAACGAUGUGGGAAGGCACAGACAGCCAGGAUGUUGGCUUAGAAGCAGCCAUCAUUUAAAGAAAGCGUAAUAGCUCACUGGUCGAGUCGGCCUGCGCGGAAGAUGUAACGGGGCUAAACCAUGCACCGAAGCUGCGGCAGCGACACUAUGUGUUGUUGGGUAGGGGAGCGUUCUGUAAGCCUGCGAAGGUGUGCUGUGAGGCAUGCUGGAGGUAUCAGAAGUGCGAAUGCUGACAUAAGUAACGAUAAAGCGGGUGAAAAGCCCGCUCGCCGGAAGACCAAGGGUUCCUGUCCAACGUUAAUCGGGGCAGGGUGAGUCGACCCCUAAGGCGAGGCCGAAAGGCGUAGUCGAUGGGAAACAGGUUAAUAUUCCUGUACUUGGUGUUACUGCGAAGGGGGGACGGAGAAGGCUAUGUUAGCCGGGCGACGGUUGUCCCGGUUUAAGCAUGUAGGCUGGUUAUCCAGGCAAAUCCGGAUAAUCAAGGCUGAGGUGUGAUGACGAGGCACUACGGUGCUGAAGUAACAAAUGCCCUGCUUCCAGGAAAAGCCUCUAAGCAUCAGGUAACAUCAAAUCGUACCCCAAACCGACACAGGUGGUCAGGUAGAGAAUACCAAGGCGCUUGAGAGAACUCGGGUGAAGGAACUAGGCAAAAUGGUGCCGUAACUUCGGGAGAAGGCACGCUGGUGUGUAGGUGAAGUCCCUGCGGAUGGAGCUGAGACCAGUCGAAGAUACCAGCUGGCUGCAACUGUUUAUUAAAAACACAGCACUGUGCAAACACGAAAGUGGACGUAUACGGUGUGACGCCUGCCCGGUGCCGGAAGGUUAAUUGAUGGGGUUAUCCGUAAGGAGAAGCUCUUGAUCGAAGCCCCGGUAAACGGCGGCCGUAACUAUAACGGUCCUAAGGUAGCGAAAUUCCUUGUCGGGUAAGUUCCGACCUGCACGAAUGGCGUAAUGAUGGCCAGGCUGUCUCCACCCGAGACUCAGUGAAAUUGAACUCGCUGUGAAGAUGCAGUGUACCCGCGGCAAGACGGAAAGACCCCGUGAACCUUUACUAUAGCUUGACACUGAACAUUGAGCCUUGAUGUGUAGGAUAGGUGGGAGGCUUUGAAGCGUGGACGCCAGUCUGCGUGGAGCCAACCUUGAAAUACCACCCUUUAAUGUUUGAUGUUCUAACGUUGGCCCCUUACCGGGGUUGCGGACAGUGUCUGGUGGGUAGUUUGACUGGGGCGGUCUCCUCCCAAAGCGUAACGGAGGAGCACGAAGGUUAGCUAAUCCUGGUCGGACAUCAGGAGGUUAGUGCAAUGGCAUAAGCUAGCUUGACUGCGAGCGUGACGGCGCGAGCAGGUGCGAAAGCAGGUCAUAGUGAUCCGGUGGUUCUGAAUGGAAGGGCCAUCGCUCAACGGAUAAAAGGUACUCCGGGGAUAACAGGCUGAUACCGCCCAAGAGUUCAUAUCGACGGCGGUGUUUGGCACCUCGAUGUCGGCUCAUCACAUCCUGGGGCUGAAGUAGGUCCCAAGGGUAUGGCUGUUCGCCAUUUAAAGUGGUACGCGAGCUGGGUUUAGAACGUCGUGAGACAGUUCGGUCCCUAUCUGCCGUGGGCGCUGGAGAAUUGAGGGGGGCUGCUCCUAGUACGAGAGGACCGGAGUGGACGCAUCACUGGUGUUCGGGUUGUCAUGCCAAUGGCACUGCCCGGUAGCUAAAUGCGGAAGAGAUAAGUGCUGAAAGCAUCUAAGCACGAAACUUGCCCCGAGAUGAGUUCUCCCUGAGACUUUAAGUCUCCUGAAGGAACGUUGAAGACGACGACGUUGAUAGGCCGGGUGUGUAAGCGCAGCGAUGCGUUGAGCUAACCGGUACUAAUGAACCGUGAGGCUUAACCUU